GAAACAGAAAAACUUACCAACCAUAAGAAAAAUGCCUACUUACUUGGUCACUUUUUCCUCCAGUGUGCAGCCAAAAUACAUACCAUUCAUAAGACCUAGAUCAGCCACAAACAUACACCAUUAUGUCUCUUUGUUCUCCAUUAAAAACAAGCAUAUGAAAAUGAACCAAACUUGUGUCACUUAAAACUUUUCACAAAAACAGGCCAAAAUGAUUUGAUUUUAAGCACAAGCUUCAUGGCAUGCUUUUAGAGAGUGAAUAGUUCCAAUUGUGGCUCAGUGGUAACAACCCAACUAGUAUCCAUGAGGACACUGGUUUGAUCCCUGGCCUUGCUCAGUAGGUUAUCAAUCCAAUGUUGCCCUAAGCUGUGGCAUAGACCAGCAGCUGCAGCUCUUAUUCGAUCCCUAGCCUGGGAACCUCCAUAUGCCUCAGGUGUGGCCCUAAAAACCAUAAAAAUAAAAAUAAAAAUAAAUUGGAGAGUGUAAAGUUACAGGCUCUAGCAACUGAUGAAUGUAAGUAGAGAGAGUAACAAUAAGAAAAACAAUCAGACCUCCAGUUUAAGCAUGUGGAGAAUGGUGAUGUCAUGGUGGAAAAUAAGAGGUCAGCAAAAAGAGGAGAUCUGGUCAGAUCUGAGAAGACUAUUAGCUCAGUUCUGAAGAUCUUUAUGCCUGGGACAUUCAACUGAAGAUGUUCAAUAAGUAUGGCAGCCAUCCGGUUCUGGAGAGAGUUAGGUCUAAAGAUGUAAGCAUCAUACAUCUUAGGGGGCAUGAAAAAAACCAUCUCUUCUCACCUGUGCGGACAGGUAGCAGGUAAGGAGGAAAGCACAACCAAGCAGAGAACCCAGAGAAGAGCAGGUUUAGGAGUAACAGAGAGAGGAGGAAGUCAGAAAGAGAUGCAGAGAUGCUGCAAAAUGUGAAGCAGAGAAAGCUUCCACCUUAUGUCAAGUGGAGUGAUAAGUGUCCACAUUAAUUUUCAUUGGUUAUAAGACUGCUUCUGCUCCAUACUUUCAAAGAUAGAACAGGAUAUUAAAUUACUGGGUGAGGAUUUUUCUCCAAAUCAGUCUUGGAAGAUUUUCUAUCUUAUCUCUCUAGCCAGGAGAUGCUGCUAAAUGGUAUCGUCACUAGCAUGCAUCAAGAUCAAACAAAGACAAAUUUUCAAGGAGUUCUCCUGUGGAACAGCAGGUUAAGGAUCCAGUGUUGUCACUGCAGUUGUUCGGGUCACUACUGUGACAGGGGUUGGAUCCGUGGCCCAGAAACUUCCUCAUACAACCAAUUCAACCAAAAAAAAAGACAAAUUUUCAAGUCUAAAUAUCUGUUUUCUACUUAUACCUACUACUAGUUUUCUCAACUCCAGGGAUAAAGGAUAAGAGGAUUUAAACGAAUACUCUUUGGCAUCACUGCUCCUAGGUACAUUAAUUUUUAAAAUUUUUUUUUUAAUUUUUUUGUUUUUUGUCUUUUUGCUAUUUGUUGGGCCGCUCCCACGGCAUAUGGAGUUUCCCAAACUAGGGGUCUAAUCGGAGCUGUAGCGGCCAGCCUAUGCCAGAGCCACAGCAACUCGGGAUCCGAGCCGUGUCUGCAACCUACACCACAGCUCACGGCAACGCCGGAUCGUUAACCCACUGAGCAAGGGCAGGGACCGAACCGGCAACCUCAUGGUUCCUAGUUGGAUUUGUUAACCACUGCGCCACGACAGGAACUCCUAAAAUUUUAUUGAAGUAUAGUUGAUAUGCAAAGUUGUAUUAGUUUCAGGUGUACAGCAAACUUAUUGUUACAUCUGUAUGUGUGAAUAUAGACAUAUUCUUUUUNAUGUAUGUGUGAAUGUAGACAUAUUCUUUUUAAAAACUCAUUUUAUUAUAGAUUAUUAUUAUUAUUUUGCAUAUGGAAGUUUCCAGGCUAGUGGUAGAAUUCGAGCUACAGCUGCAGGCUUACACCACAGUAACUCCAGAUCUGAGCCUUUUCUGUGACCUACACUACAGCACAUGGCAAUGCCAGAUCCUUAACCUGAUGAUCAAGGCCAGGGAUUGAAUCAAUCCUCAUGGAUCCUAGUCAGUUUUUGUUACUAAUGAGCCACGACUGGAACUACCUUCAUUAUAGAUUAUUAAAAGAUAUUGAGUAUUGUUCCCUGGGCUAUACAGUAUACUGGUCCUUACUGAUAUUUGUUUAUAUAUAGUAGUGUCUAUAUUUUAAUCCCAAACUCCUAAUUAAUCCCUCCCUCUAACUUUACAAUAAUUUGUAUACAGUUCAAAAAGUAAAAAAAUAUUUUCAAGGUCA
rnacentral:lncRNA from 1 species